UACGGGGGGAGCAAGCGUUGUUCGGAUUUACUGGGCGUAAAGGGCGCGUAGGCGGUCGUGACAAGUCACUUGUGAAAUCUCCGGGCUUAACUCGGAACGGUCAAGUGAUACUGUCGGACUAGAGUACAGAAGGGGCAACUGGAAUUCUCGGUGUAGCGGUGAAAUGCGUAGAUAUCGAGAGGAACACCUGCGGCGAAGGCGGGUCGCUGGGCCGAUACUGACGCUGAGGACGAAA
rnacentral:rRNA from 1 species